CAUUUGAAAUCAAUACAAGGAUAGGGGCUAUCAAGAGGUUAUGUCCCCAAAUGUAUUCAACAUGGAUCUGUGGAUGCAAUCUGGUCAUGCAAAACAUCAUAAAGAGGAUAUGUUUGUCUUAGAGGAGUUUGGUUUGAAACCAAUGAAUUGCCCAGGGCACUGCUUGAUGUUUA